rnacentral:rRNA from 1 species
ACGUGUAGCAGUGAAAUGCGUAGAGAUGUGGAGGAAUACCGAUGGCGAAGGCAGCCCCCUGGGAUAAUACUGACGUUCAUGCUCGAAAGCGUGGGUAGCAAACAGGAUUAGAUACCCUGGUAGUCCACGCCCUAAACGAUGUCGAUUAGCUGUUGGGCAACUUGAUUGCUUAGUAGCGUAGCUAACGCGUGAAAUCGACCGCCUGGGGAGUACGGUCGCAAGAUUAAAACUCAAAGGAAUUGACGGGGACCCGCACAAGCGGUGGAUGAUGUGGAUUAAUUCGAUGCAACGCGAAGAACCUUACCUGGUCUUGACAUGUACGGAAGAACUCAGAGACGAGUUUGUGCCUUCGGGAGCCGUAACACAGGUGCUGCAUGGCUGUCGUCAGCUCGUGUCGUGAGAUGUUGGGUUAAGUCCCGCAACGAGCGCAACCCUUGUCAUUAGUUGCCAUCAUUUAGUUGGGCACUCUAAUGAGACUGCCGGUGACAAACCGGAGGAAGGUGGGGAUGACGUCAAGUCCUCAUGGCCCUUAUGACCAGGGCUUCACACGUCAUACAAUGGUCGGUACAGAGGGUAGCCAAGCCGCGAGGUGGAGCCAAUCCCAGAAAACCGAUCGUAGUCCGGAUUGCACUCUGCAACUCGAGUGCAUGAAGUCGGAAUCGCUAGUAAUCGCAGGUCAGCAUACUGCGGUGAAUACGUUCCCGGGUCUUGUACACACCGCCCGUCACACCAUGGGAGUGGGGGAUACCAGAA